rnacentral:rRNA from 1 species
CUGCAUGAAGUUGGAAUCGCUAGUAAUCGCGGAUCAGCAUGCCGCGGUGAAUACGUUCCCGGGCCUUGUACACACCGCCCGUCACACCAUGAGAGUCGGGAACACCCGAAGUCCGUAGCCUGACCGCAAGGGGGGCGCGGCCGAAGGUGGGUUCGAUAAUUGGGGUGAAGUCGUAACAAGGUACC